GUUAAGUCCACUUUAAUACAAGACAAAAAGCUAAAAAUGCUGUGGGAAUUAUGGUUACAGAGCAGAAGCAGAAUGGCAGCUAAUGAAUGGAGAAGGAAUGAUUGAAAUAGAAAAUCAUUGUUUGGCAACCAUCACAGGAAUAAAGAAUUCAGCCAAGAAACAUCAAUGAGUGCAAAAACUAAUUGGGAAAAAUUUGAUGAGGGAUAGGAUAUUUACAGAGUCUCAAAGUACCUUCCCGCAAAAUAUUCAUUAAUUAUGAAGAGGAAAAAGAGCUACUCCCCAGUGGAGAAAACCCGACAGACGGCGCAUUAAUCAGUGAUCAAAGUUAACAUCACAAAAAUGGGCCAAAUCAAAACUGUCCCACCUGACAGAAUGUAAUGUGAAAAAUACAGUGUCACUUGCUAUUCCUGACCAAAAAAAAAAAAAAAAGCAGAACCUGAAUCUAAUUGUGAGGAAAAAUCAGAUAGAUACACCGAAGAUGGGAAACAUUCUACACAACUGGCCUGUAAACUUCAAAAGUGAACAUCAAGGAAAGACUGAGGAAUGGUGGCAACUAAAGACUAUGCAGAAUCUUGGAUUGGAUCCUUUUGUCAUCAAGGACAUUACUGGGACAACUGGCAACAUUUAAAUGGGGCCUGUGGUUUAGACGGUAAUAAGGUAUCAACAGUGUAUCAAAUGUUACUUUUCUGAUUUUAAUGGUUGCAUUGAGGUUAGGACAAGGAUGUCCUUGUUUGUAGAAAUUACACAAAAUUCAACGGAAAAGAAAAAAAAAGUAAUUCAGAAAGACCCACAGUCAAAAGAUGGGCAAAAGCACAUAGGCAAAUUUUUAAAUGCAGAAUAUUGAUCUUAAGAUCAGAUAAUAUUUAUUUCAGCGCAAACACACAUUUCCACUGUGGUGCCAGGGGAUUGAUGGUGUCUCUGUGGUGUCAGGUUCAAUCCUCUGCCCAGCAAGCACAGCGGAUUAAAAGAUCUGGCAUUGCCGCAGCUGCAGAGUAGGUUGAAAUUGCAGCUCCAAUCGGAUCUACAGCUCUCGCACUCUUGGUGUUCAAAGACAUCCCCCUCUCCCAACCCAGCACAGGGUGCAGCGGGGGCACUGAGCAGCCUGCGAUGAGGGCAACAUCCUUGAGGCCCCAUCUCCCGCGUGGAGCUCGCUUUCCACCGGCUGCCCAGGCGGAGCCAAGAUAGACUCAGACCUUCCUGCGGAGAGACUAGGCGUGGCUGCCGUCGUCGUGGCAGCCAUGGGGCCUUGAACCAGGGACCUGGAGACUCCCUCGGGAAGAACCGCGGGAGCCCGACUGAGACGCAAGACGCCGGAAGCUGCCCUUCCCGAAACCAGCUCCAGGGCCCCUGGAAGUGGAAUCUUCCCGCGCUUGGCUGCCCCUAGCGGACUCCCCCCGACCCCCUGCACCCCGCACCUCCAUGAGGACCUGCUCUGUCUGGCUCUGUCACCCUUCAUGCUCCUCUGUCAAUGGCCUUCUUUUCCUCCCUGUUCUAGCAACCGGCUCCCCUACUGCUCCCAGGCGUGACGCAGUCUGCAAAGGAUGUGGAGGCAGAAACAUUGAUUUCCCCGAUGAGUCCAUGGCCUUGUGGG